rnacentral:tRNA from 1 species
CUUCGAUAGCUCAGUUGGUAGAGCAAACGACCGAUAAUCGUUAGGUCACUGGUUCGAGCCCAGUUCGGAGUACCA